UGAUAAAAGAAGGAGUUAAACCCACAUAAGCAAGUCUACAGCUUGCCACCUAUACGCUCGGUCAUUUUACC
rnacentral:tRNA from 1 species